CUGCAGCUCAAGUGGUGACCACGAUUAUUGGGCCUAAAACGUUCGUAGCCGGUUUGGUAAAUGCCUGGGUAAAUCGUGUAGCUUAACUAUACGAAUUCCGGGUAGACUGCCAAACUUGAGACCGGGAGAAGCUAGAGGUACUCCUGGGGUAGAGGUGAAAUUCUGUAAUCCUGGGGGGACCACCAGUGGCGAAGGCGUCUAGCUAGAACGGGUCUGACGGUGAGGAACGAAGCCCUGGGGCGCAAACCGGAUUAGAGACCCGAGUAGUCC
rnacentral:rRNA from 1 species